GACGAACGCUGGCGGCGCGCUUAACACAUGCAAGUCGAGCGAAGCGGCGGACGGGUGAGUAACACGUGAGUAACCUGCCUUAGACAUUGGGAUAGCCUCGGGAAACCGGGAUUAAUACCAAAUGGUCUAAGAUGGCCUCGCGUCCCAUUAGCUAGUUGGUGGGUAACGGCCCACCAAGGCGACGAUGGGUAGCCGGCCUGUGGGGGUGAACGGCCACAUUGGAACUGAGACACGGUCCAAACUCGACGGGAGGCAGCAGUGGGGAAUAUUGCACAAUGGAGGGAACUCUGAUGCAGCGACGCCGCGUGCGGGAUAACGGCCUUCGGGUUGUAAACCGCUUUCAGCCAUGACGCGGUGGUGGCAGAAGAAGCACCGGCUAACUACGUGCCAGCCGCCGCGGUAAUUC
rnacentral:rRNA from 1 species